rnacentral:lncRNA from 1 species
UAUAUAUAUAUAUAUAUAUUCGCAACGGUCACAACACCAUCAGCUGGGGUUUCCCGAGGUCAGAGAAUAGCUAUCGAUUAACCUAUUAGGAUAGUUGCAGAGAAAUAAAAAGGACGUAAAAUAGCAGGGAACCUAUAAACAAAGACGUCAUAACUGGCUGUUGGAGUUGUUAAACGACUUAGCACAGAAAAAGUCGGAAAUGAGCUGGAAACGGAGCAGGCAUUGGCAGCGGUCUUGAGAAAUCUGCGCCAAAGAAGAGGCGAGGAUGUGUCCAGCGCACGUGAAGUACAAGGAAUGUCAGCUCUGUUGAUCUUGGGGUUACACCUGGCCCUAAAACGCAUGCCUGAGUUGAUUUCCGCAGCUGCACCACUAAUGACGCGCUGACUCAAAAACGUCUAUUCCGCUGACUAGACAGUCUUCUCGGGAAACCGACAGGAGCUACCAGCUGGAGCUGGCUGCACCCUAGGCAAGAGGUCACAGUGGCGACUGCUCAAGCAACUCAAAGGAAGGUGGGGAGGAAAAGAAAACACGAUCCAAAUUUACAAAUUUAGGAAAACCUUUUGCCCAACUUGGAUUGCCAGUUGUAUUGGCGGGCGCAAGGCUCAGAGUGGACCGGACCGCGAUCUUGAUGGCGGAGCCUCUGGCGAAGGCUUGUACGCGCGCGAGAACCCUGGCUUCAAGGCUGCUCUCGAGGCCGCUUUUUAGUCUCCAAAUGAGCCUAAUUUCGAUUUCCCGGCUAGCCUGAGCUGGCUCAGGAGACUUUGUCCGCCUCGUUGACGGCUGCCUCUCCCCCUUCGCCAAGGCCGGAUCUGGGCGGUCCGUUCCCGUGUAUCUCCUUGGAACCUCUCUGGGGAAAGGGGUGGUGAACAACUCCCAGCUGCCGGUUCCAUUUGUUGCGCCUUUUUCCUUCGACACAAUAAAAGUCAAAUUAAUUGAUU